UAUGAUGUCAAAGAACCCUUUACAAAUUAUUGCACAAAACAAACUAACAUGGGAAUGUCUCAUUUUUUUUAUGGAUGAAGAACCUGGACAAAGCCCCAGCUAAUGUCCUGCCUAUGGCAACUAAGCAAAUUGACAACAGAGCCAGGAGAACAUAGAGGACAAGUUGAACAACGUUGUGUAGAAAGGAAAAGAAAAAAGCAUGCUUCACUGAAGUAAUUGUCAAGCUAAAAAUUGGAGCCUGCAGACAUUCCAAGGUAAUUUAGCUGAUGGUCUAGAAGUACCUUUGAGAUAGAACAAAAGGUUUUUAAGGGGGAG
rnacentral:lncRNA from 1 species